ensembl:lncRNA
GAAGCCUGUUUCCUAUAAUCAACGAAAUGGGGAUCUCAGGAAGGUUUUUAUGCCCAGGAGCCCCACAGGUCUAGCUCUGUAUCAAUGAUCCACUCUAAAAAUAUAUCCCUCCCUCCCUCCUUCCUUCCUGGGUGUCUUUGCAGAGAGCCACCUACAGAUGGUGGUGGGGUGUUGGUGCAGGUUCACCUGCUGGCUCCCAGCAUGAAUUAGGGCGUGGACUCCAGCACUGGCGCAGGUUGCACCUCCUCCACUGCUCAGCGUGAGGUGUUGCCCAGCGCACACUCUCUCCACCCUGGCCCAGCAGCAGUGACCUGGAGAUGGUUCCAGGGCAGUUUCUCAGAGUUAUCUGAGAGGCUAUGUCUCAGGCUGUAGUCCUCAGGAAGACAUGGAAUAAAUUCAGCUCACAGCAUUUGCAUUGCAUGUGGUUUCUUUUGAACAGGAGGACGUGGUUUUGAGACAGUUUGAGGAAAAGGGGAAACAUUGGCUGGAUGGCAUCACUGACUCAAUGGACAUGAGUCUGAGUGAACUCCGGGAGUUGGUGAUGGACAGGGAGGCCUGGCGUGCUGCGAUUCAUGGGGUCGCAAAGAGUUGGACACGACUGAGCGACUGAACUGAACUGAACUGAGGAAGAUACAGAGGCACAAAG